rnacentral:lncRNA from 1 species
CCGGACAUAUAAUUUCAAAGCAGUGUCGAUGACAUCAGCAACAGGCGCUUCCUCAUUAACAACAAAGCGGAUUGGCCCUGCACUUCCCACAACAAUGAUGCUGAUCAACAGCUUAUUGCCCUUGGGACCCUGAUUCUUCUUCUGCUUGUAAAGCAACAUUUUCUUUUCUUUUUUCUUUUUGUUCUUAUCACCAAAUCAAAAAAAGUAAAUAAAUUUUGAGACCACAAAAGAAAUGGGUUCAUGUUGUGUUUGGUUUUUGGUUUAGGGAAUGCAAAAAUGGAGGGCGGGGGUUGUUAGUUGUAAAAGGGGAGUAGUUCAAGGAUCAAGUCCGAGACGGCGAUAAUACCAGCCUUGUUUGCAAGAACCAAAAGCGAAAGCAGCAGAAGGAGAAAGAGGGAGGAGACAGCUCGCCCUU